rnacentral:rRNA from 1 species
UAGGGAAUCUUCCACAAUGGACGAAAGUACUGAUGGAGCAACGCCGCGUGAGUGAAGAAGGGUUUCGGCUCGUAAAACUCUGUUGUUAAAGAAGAACAUAUCUGAGAGUAACUGUUCAGGUAUUGACGGUAUUUAACCAGAAAGCCACGGCUAACUACGUGCCAC